rnacentral:rRNA from 1 species
UACGUAGGGUGCAAGCGUUGUCCGGAAUUAUUGGGCGUAAAGAGCUCGUAGGCGGCUUGUCGCGUCGGCUGUGAAAACCUGGGGCUCAACCCCGGGCCUGCAGCCGAUACGGGCAAGCUAGAAUUCGGUAGGGGAGACGUGGAAUUCCUGGUGGUAGCGGUGAAAUGCGCAGAUAUCAGGAGGAACACCAAUAGCGAAGGCAGCUCGCUGGGACGUUACUGACACUGAGGCGCGAAAGCGUGGGGAGCGAACAGG